rnacentral:rRNA from 1 species
AUUGAACGCUGGCGGCAGGCUUAACACAUGCAAGUCGAGCGGGGUGAUGGUGCUUGCACUAUCACUUAGCGGCGGACGGGUGAGUAAUGCUUAGGAAUCUGCCUAUUAGUGGGGGACAACAUCUCGAAAGGGAUGCUAAUGCCGCAUACGUCCUACGGGAGAAAGCAGGGGAUCACUUGUGACCUUGCGCUAAUAGAUGAGCCUAAGUCGGAUUAGCUAGUUGGUGGGGUAAAGGCCUACCAAGGCGACGAUCUGUAGCGGGUCUGAGAGGAUGAUCCGCCACACUGGGACUGAGACACGGCCCAGACUCCUACGGGAGGCAGCAGUGGGGAAUAUUGGACAAUGGGGGGAACCCUGAUCCAGCCAUGCCGCGUGUGUGAAGAAGGCCUUAUGGUUGUAAAGCACUUUAAGUGAGGAGGAGGCUCUUUUGGUUAAUACCCAAGAUGAGUGGACGUUACUCGCAGAAUAAGCACCGGCUAACUCUGUGCCAGCAGCCGCCGUAA